rnacentral:tRNA from 1 species
GGACCCGUAGCUUAACUGGAUAGAGUCCUUGACUACGAAUCAAGAGGUUGCAAGUUCGAAUCUUGCCGGGUUCA